rnacentral:lncRNA from 1 species
CGACGGGGGAGGAUGGAGAAAAGUCCCCUCCUGGUCCCUCGGCAUAAAGGGAGGCCCAGGGGAUGGAGGCAGAGGGGACAGUCCCCAGGCCCUGGCCCUGAUUUUCAGGUGGCCACUGGUCAGAACUGUCAGCUGUGCCUGUCCCCCAGACUGCAAAUUGAAAACAGCAAAUGUAGCUCUAUUCUUUUUUAUUUUCCUCCCCCCUCCAUCUCUGCCCCUUUUCUCUUGUUUCUUUCUUUCUUUUCUUUUUUUUUGUCAAUGAGGAAUACAAGGCCACUGCCAAAAACAUAUCCCACACAAUCAAACAUCAGAUGGUGACUCCUUUCCCACAGCUUGUGAGAAAUGCUCCUUCAGAACUCGAUCUUGAAGGGUACAGUAAAAGACAGACGCACGCACACACAGACGCCCACAAACCUUCAGCCUGAGGCGGAGACUUCCAUAAGUCUGGGUCCCUGCCCCCUGUGUCUUCAAACUUUCUGAGCGGCUUGGGAGGAUUCCAUAUUUCCAACUUCAGCUCUUAAAAUACAAGAAAAUAAAAGUGGGACGCCUUCAAGCCAUUAAUGAUGCCUUCCUUUUGCA